rnacentral:rRNA from 1 species
GAUGAACGCUGGCGGCGUGCCUAAUACAUGCAAGUCGAGCGAACAGACGAGGAGCUUGCUCCUCUGACGUUAGCGGCGGACGGGUGAGUAACACGUGGAUAACCUACCUAUAAGACUGGGAUAACUUCGGGAAACCGGAGCUAAUACCGGAUAAUAUAUUGAACCGCAUGGUUCAAUAGUGAAAGACGGUUUUGCUGUCACUUAUAGAUGGAUCCGCGCCGCAUUAGCUAGUUGGUAAGGUAACGGCUUACCAAGGCAACGAUGCGUAGCCGACGUGAGAGGGUGAUCGGCCACACUGGAACUGAGACACGGACCAGACUCCUACGGGAGGCAGCAGUAGGGAAUCUUCCGCAAUGGGCGAAAGCAUGACGGAGCAACGCCGCGUGAGUGAUGAAGGUCUUCGGAUCGUAAAACUCUGUUAUUAGGGAAGAACAAAUGUGUAAGUAACUAUGCACGUCUUGACGGUACCUAAUCAGAAAGCCACGGCUAACUACGUG